GUCUCCGUAGUUCAAUGGAUAGAAUUUUGGUUUCCGGUACCAACGAUAUGAGUUCGAAUCUCGUCGGGGACACUA
rnacentral:tRNA from 1 species